UAGGGAAUCUUCCGCAAUGGACGAAAGUCUGACGGAGCAACGCCGCGUGAGUGAAGAAGGAUUUCGGUUCGUAAAACUCUGUUGUUAGGGAAGAAAAAAUGUAUAGUAACUAUAUACAAAAGAGACGGUACCUAACCAGAAAGCCACGGCUAACUACGUGCCAGCAGCCGCGGUAAUACGUAGGUGGCAAGCGUUGUCCGGAAUUAUUGGGCGUAAAGCGCGCGCAGGUGGUUUAGAAAGUCUGAUGUGAAAGCCCACGGCUCAACCGUGGAAGGUCAUUGGAAACUAAUAAACUUGAGUGCAGGAGAGAAAAGUGGAAUUCCUAGUGAAGCGGUGAAAUGCGUAGAGAUUAGGAGGAACACCGGUGGCGAAAGCGGCUUUUUGGCCUGCAACUGACACUGAGGCGCGAAAGCGUGGGGAGCAAACAGG
rnacentral:rRNA from 1 species